rnacentral:rRNA from 3 species
UACGAAGGGGGCUAGCGUUGCUCGGAAUUACUGGGCGUAAAGGGCGCGUAGGCGGACAGUUUAGUCAGAGGUGAAAGCCCAGGGCUCAACCUUGGAAUUGCCUUUGAUACUGGCUGUCUUGAGUUCGGGAGAGGUGAGUGGAAUGCCGAGUGUAGAGGUGAAAUUCGUAGAUAUUCGGCGGAACACCAGUGGCGAAGGCGACUCACUGGCCCGAUACUGACGCUGAGGCGCGAAAGCGUGGGGAGCAAACAGG